rnacentral:misc_RNA from 1 species
UCUCCGUAGGUGAACCUGCGGAGGGAUCAUUACAGAGUUCAUGCCCUAACGGGUAGAUCUCCCACCCUAUGUUAUCAUCACUUUGAUGCUUUGGCGGGCCGUCAGGCCUCGGCUUGGCUACCGGCUCUCGCUGGUAAGCGCCCGCCAGAGAACCCCAAACCCUGAAUAUCAGUGUCGUCUGAGUACUAUAUAAUAGUUAAAACUUUCAACAACGGAUCUCUUGGUUCUG